UUUCCGUAGGUGAACCUGCGGAAGGAUCAUUCAUAAUAAGUGUUUUAUGGCACUUUUUUAAAUCCAUAUCCACCUUGUGUGCAAUGUCAGGGUUGAUUCUUCUCUCGAGAGGAUCAACCCCAAACAUCAACUAUAUCUCAACUCUUUGUCUGAAAAAUAUUAUGAUAAAACAAUUCAAAAUACAACUUUCAACAACGGAUCUCUUGGCUCUC
rnacentral:misc_RNA from 1 species